rnacentral:rRNA from 1 species
UAAUACGAGUGCCCCAAGCGUUAUCCGGAAUCAUUGGGCGUAAAGGGUGUGUAGGUUGUUUCAUUAGUCUUCUGUCAAAUUCUUCGGCUCAACCGGGGGUCCGCAGAAGAAACGGUGAAACUAGAGGAUGUGAGAGGUGAAUGGAACUCAUGGUGUAGGGGUGAAAUCCGUUGAUAUCAUGGGGAACACCAAAAGCGAAGGCAAUUCACUGGCACAUUCCUGACACUGAAACACGAAAGCGUGGGUAGCGAAUGGGAUUAGAUACCCCAGUAGUCCACGCCCUAAACGAUCUUCUCUAGCUUUUCGGAGUAUCGACCCUCUGAGAGGCGUAGCUAACGCGUUAAGAGAAGCGCCUGGGUAGUACGGCCGCAAGGCUA